CACCAUAAUCUCAUGCUUUCUUCAAAACAAAAUAUCUCCCAAUAAGCUUUCUAAAAUAUAUCAUUGUAUCAAUGGCGGUGUCUAAGGUGUUGGGUACAACCUUUGUGGUCAUGCUCUUUCUAGGCAUGACCUCUGCAGGGAGGGUUUUGUCGAAUAAUGGAGGUGGUGGUGAAGGUGGUGGUGGUGGAGGUGGUGGUGGCAAAGGAAGUGGUUCUGGUUAUGGGUCGGGGAGUGGUUAUGGAUCUGGAAGUGGUUCUAAUUACGGUGGACGUGGAGGUGGAGGUGGAGGUGGUGGUGGACAUGGAGGUGGGAAUGGAUCGGGAUAUGGUUCUGGCAGUGGAUCUGGUUAUGGUUCAGGUAGCGGAAAUGGUGGUUAUGGCAGUGGAGGAGGUGGUGGAGGUGGUCAUGGAGGCGGUAGUGGCUCUGGACAUGAAUCUGGUUCUGGUUAUGGAUCAGGUUCUGGUUAUGGAAGUGGGGGACUUCCAUAAGUAUGAUCAUCAUCUAGUGGAUAUGUAAUAUAUGUAUACAUACAUAAGGCGACCAUAUAUAUCUGGUUGAUCGAAUAAUGUUUUAAACUCUCUAAUUUAUAAUACCAAUUACAAUAAUAAAUUUGAGAGGUUUAAAUCACAGGACACUUGAAUUUGGAUAUUGAAAAAUAUAUAACUUGAUAUGAAUUUUAAUAAAUAUUAGUUACUGAAUGAAUGAAUGAAUGAAUGAAUGAAUGAAAAUAAUUCAUUAAGAUAGAAUAAUUGUAAUACAAGAAUUUUGUUAUUCAUAAUUCUUCAAAUACGAUUAAUUCGAUUAUUUCUUACAGUGAUGUUGAUUGGGUUGCAGGAAACCCUGACGAUUAAUUCACUAUAGCCAUCAAUAUUUUCAUCCAUUCUUUUGUAUUCCACUUUAAUUGAGAGGUUUGUCUCAAAAUCAUUAUAAUAUGAUGAAAAGCUUUUGAGCUUCACAAAAAAGUUAGGUUUGAUUUUAUAGAAUUGUUGAAAAAACUUUUAAUUAAAUAAGUUCACAAAUACCUCUAGACUAGUGUAUUUCGUGAAUCAAAAUCACAAGAAUAAAGUAGAUCAACGAACUAAUAUAAAUUUCUAUGUGUUUUUCAUUUAACCAACUUAGAUUUCAGUCAACGCAAAAACGACAAGCUUUAUCUUUCAAUCUUUUUGUUAUUUAACUUGUGUUACUUUAUGUCCUAAAUCUAUUUAAUUAGUUCUCGAUCUGCUAUCAGAUUUUAAAAACACGAGAGCACGAGACCGGCAACAGAGCUUCGGUGCAUUACUGCAUUGGCCGACAAUGAAACUCUGAAGCACGAGACUGGGAAAGCGGUCAAUUUCUUCAAUGAGAGAGCCUAGAAGAUGUUUAACAUAAUAUUCUAUUUAAUGUCAUAUUCGCAAAUUUUCACCGACUAAAAUUGGAUAUUAGUGAGUCACUAUCAUUUAUUCAUAUCACAACUGUACUUUAUCAAAAAAAAAUUAAAUCAAAUUGACUUUUUUCAUUGACUGAGAUAUUUAUUGAUAAUUUAAAAAUUAAGAUGUCAUUUUUUGUUGUUAUUAAAAAUCAUUUAUCUCAUUUGAAAUAUCUCAUGAAAACGUUUUUUAUUUAUUAAUAUCACGAUUGUAGUGGCUUCAUAUAUGUAUGUAUGUAUGUAUGAUUUUAUAUAUAUCAAGUAGACGUUGAUCAUAUUUAUGGUCGUCCUCCACUUCCGUAACCAGAGCCUGAUCCAUAACCUGAACCAGAUCCAGAUCCAGACCCACCACCUCCUCCAUGGCCACCGCCACCACCUCCUCCAUUGCCGUAACCACCAUUUCCGCUACCUGAACCAUAACCAGAUCCACUGCCAGAGCCAUAUCCCGAUCCGUUCCCACCCCCUUGUCCACCACCACCUCCACCGCCAUGUCCACCACCUCCUCCUUGGCCACCACCGUAACCAGAACCGCUUCCAGAUCCAUAACCACUCCCUGAUCCAUGACCACUUCCAGAUCCUCCACCACCACCGUGUCCACCUCCUCCACCACCACCGUGUCCACCUCCACUCCUUUUACCACUUCAAUAACCUGAACCGGAUCCAUAGCCACUACCAGCUUGACCUCCACCGCCGCCUCCACUACCAUACCCACCUCCUUUCCCAUGUCCCGAACCAUAUCCUGAGUCAUAACCAGAACCACUUCCCUUUCCACUACCUCCUCCUCCACCACCGCCGCCACCUCCACCACCACCUUCAUUAUUCGACCAAACCCUGGUUGCAGAGGUCAUGCCUAGGAAGAGCAUGACAACCAAAGUAGCACCCAACACCUUAGACAUAGCCAUUGAUGGUUAUAUAUUUUAGAAAGCUAAAAGAGAGAUGUGUGUUGUUAUGAAGUGUGCAAGGGAUGAUGUUGGUAUUUAUACCAAUUUUCGACUCAUGAAAUAAUUAACAUCUGCCAACUAUUUCGGACUUACGAGUUUGAAGUCAGAAACUUGGCGCCAACUAGCCUAAUAAGUCAAAACACUUUGUUAAAUUAUGUGGAAUUCAUCGUAUUAAACGACAAAGAUGUUGAAAGGAUGUUCGAUUUCAAUCCAACCGACAGCCAACUAUUUGACUGAAUUGUAAUAUUCGAUUAAAAAAUGGUAGUUAGUAAGUCACAAGUCAUACCACCCGGAUAACUUUUUUUUUGUUUCAGUUUAUUGACUAAGUUUCAGUUUAUUUUUCAUUUUUUUUAAUCAUCUCUUAAUUAAUAAAUAUUCGAUGAUAUAUUACCCAAAUGUAGUUGUUUUUACUUUUACAAAGACACGGUCCGUUAAUUUUUUCACCCGAUCAAUAGUUUUUACCUGACUCUAGCCCGAUCACAUCCGAUGGACAUAUGUAACUAGUUAUAAACGUGAAAAUGCAACUAGUUAUAAAUUUGUACAUACAACUAGUUAUAAAUCUAAACAUUCAACUAUUUGUAAAUCUAAACAUUCAACUAGCUGAACAUUGAACUAGAUAUAUACUAAAAAUGCAACUAAUUAUAAAUCUAAACAUGCAAUUAUAUAAAAAUCUUGAACAUUCAACUAGUUAUAAACUUGAAAAUGUAACUAGUUAUAAAUUUGAACAUGUAUUCAACUAGCUGAACAUUGAAUUAGCUAUAAACCUGAACAUUAAUUUAGCUAUAAACCUAAACAUUGAAUUAGUUAUAAACCUAAACAUUGAACUAGUUAUAAACUUAAAAUGCAACUGAUUGUAAAUCUAAAACAUGCAACUAGUAGCUCGCGAGCAACCCGGGAGCUCCAAAAGUAGCUCGCGAGCCUACGAGAGCAACCCAAGGGAAGUUCUAUUAAAAUCAAGGUAUUUUCAAAACUAGUUCUAAAUCUGAACAUACAAUUAGUUGUAUAAACUUACAACUAUUGUAAUUAAAUGACUAAAUUAUAAUUAAAAUCAACUGAUCGUUUUUUUAAUUUUUAUAAUAUCUAAAAAUUAUCAAAAUAACCUGUAUUUAUUUUAAUUAAAAUAAAUAAAAAUAUUGUUUAAAUAAGAUAAUAAAUAAAUAAAAAACAACUAGAAAGUAUCGAAGUAAUUAAAUAAAACAAUAAGUUAAAUUAAAAUGAAAAUUUCUAAAUAUAUAUCUAAACCCUAAAAUGUUUAACAAUAAAAAGUAUCAUCACUAGUUCACUACCCAUGCCCACCCCUAGUAAGAUAAUAUAUAUAAAUUUUGUAUGACAGUGACUAGAUAAUCGAAUAUUACAGUUUAGUCAAAUUCUGGUGAGAAUUUAAGGAUUUGAAACACACUUGUUUUGAAAUCAUGUCAUUUAUUUUAACUUUUUCAAGAUAUUCAAAUCAAGUAUUUUAACUUGUUAGCCAAAUUUCAUACACAAAUAUAGAAAUAUCAUAUUUUAUUUAGUAAGAGGUAGUAAACUGUUUUUUCUUUUUCUAAUCAAACUCAAUUAAUGGAUUAAUGUUUCAUGAAUUGUUUGCUAUAAAUACCACCAUAAUCUCAUGCUUUCUUCAAAACAAAAUAUCUCCCAAUAAGCUUUCGAAAAUAUAUCAUUGUAUCAAUGGCGGUGUCUAAGGUUUUGGGUACAACCUUUGUGGUCAUGCUCUUUCUAGGCAUGACCUCUGCAGGGAGGGUUUUGUCGAAUAAUGGAGGUGGUGGUGAAGGUGGUGGUGGUGGAGGUGGUGGUGGCAAAGGAAGUGGUUCUGGUUAUGGGUCGGGGAGUGGUUAUGGAUCUGGAAGUGGUUCUAAUUACGGUGGACGUGGAGGUGGAGGUGGUGGUGGACAUGGAGGUGGGAAUGGAUCGGGAUAUGGUUCUGGCAGUGGAUCUGGUUAUGGUUCAGGUAGCGGAAAUGGUGGUUAUGGCAGUGGAGGAGGUGGUGGAGGUGGUCAUGAAGGCGGUAGUGGCUCUGGACAUGAAUCUGGUUCUGGAUCAGGUUCUGGUUAUGGAAAUGGGGGACAUCCAUAAGUAUGAUCAUCAUCUAGUGGAUAUGUAAUAUAUGUAUACAUACAUAAGGCGACCAUAUAUAUCUGGUUGAUCGAAUAAUGUUUUAAACUUAUUCACGGAUUUUGGCCACGGCCAAAAAAUUAGCCACGGCCAAUAAAAGAUUAGCCACGGAUUUUGGCCGUGGCAAAUUUUUUUAAAAAUUUUACCCGAUUACUAAUUAACAACAUUAGCCACGGAAAAUAGCCGUGGCUAAUCUUUUAUUGGCCGUGGCUAAAAAUUAGUAGCCACCAGACCUACAGCCACGGCCACUCCCGUGGCUAAUUCCCGUGGCUAAAUUGAUUUAGCCACGGAUUUUACCAUUUAGCCAGUGAACUUGGCCGUUUUGUUUCCUUGUUUUCUUGUAGUGAUAUCUGGUUGAUCGAAUAAUGUUUUAAACUCUCUAAUUUAUAAUACCAAUUACAAUAAUAGAUUUGAGAGGUUUAAAUCACAGUACACUUGAAUUUGGAUAUUGAAAAAUAUAUAACUUGAUAUGAAUUUUAAUAAAUAUUAGUUAGUGAAUGAAUGAAUGAAAAUAAUUCAUUAAGAUAGAAUAAAUGUAACACAAGAAUUUUGUUUUUCAUAAUUCUUCAAAUACGAUUAAUUAAAUUAUUUCUUACAGUGAUGUUGAUUGGGUUGCAGGAAACCAUGACGACUAAUUCACUAUAGUCAUCAAUAUUUUUCUCCAUUCUUUUGUAUUCCACUUUAAUUUAGAGGUUUGUCUUAAAAUCAUUAUAAUAUGAUGAAAAGCUUUUGAGCUUCACAAAAAAGUUAGGUUUGAUUUUAUAGAGUUGUUGAAAAAACUUUUAAUUAAAUAAGUUCACAAAUACCUCUAGACUAGUGUAUUUCGUGAAUCAAAAUCACAAGAAUAAAGUAGAUCAACGAACUAAUAUAAAUUUCUAUGUGUUUUUUAUUUCAUUUAAAGCUUAGUAUUUAACCAACUUAGAUUUCAGUCAACGCAAAAACGACAAGCUUUAUCUUUCAAUCUUUUUGUUAUUUAACUUGUGUUACUCUAUGUCCUAAAUCUAUUUAAUUAGUUCUCGAUCUGUUAUCAGAUGUUAAAAAGACUCAUAUGUUUUUAAUUACAAAUAAGUCAUCGAUCUAUUAUCAGAUGCUCAAGAGGUCUGUCUUUUAAAAUAUUAAAGUUUAAUACGAAUAAUUUUUUUUGUUUUUAUUACAGUUUACUCUUAGUCUGAUUCUGGUUAAUGCGCUCAUUUGGACCCUUUGGGAAGGCUCUAAAGAAAUUUGCGGUAUAAAACAAAAAGAGACCCUAUAAGCGACCAACUUUUUAAGUUGCUCAUACAUAGUCUGUUUUCUUAUAGUGUAGAACAUUAUACUUAAUUGAUGUUUCUUCUAGCUUUUUUUUUUUUGAUAACCGAUAUAUAAAGAGACUCAAACUUUAAUUAAAUCUCAGAUUCCGUAAUAGUUACUGUAACAUGUUGAGCUAAUCUUCUUAUGUUUAUAAUUUUUAAUCUUACACUAUUUUUACAAUCUAAAUUUUUAGUGUUAAGCAUUCCUGAAUUAUACAAUCUAAAUUUCAAAAAAAUCACCAUCUUUGAUGUCUUCAAGUGCCAUACUCAUUCCGCCAUCUUUGAUGUCUUCAUGAAGAUCAAAUUUUUGUUUUAACCCUCACUUUUUGAUAAAAUAUUAAAUGUACUAAACAUAAAUAACCUCCAAAAAAAACAUUUGAAACGAUUCAUGGUUACGUAAGUUACUAAUAUAAGGAUAUUUUGGUAAACAAAAAUUAUCAAAUGCACCAACACAUAUAUUAUAAACAGAAGAUUAUCAGGUCACGUUCUGUCCACAGUAAAGAUGAGUUUCUUGCAAUCACAUAAAAUAGAGCAUACUAGAUCAAUUGAAAGAAAUCAUCUAGAUUCUAGAGAAUCACAUCUCAAGUUCAUGAUAUCAUUGUCUUUUUUCCUAUGUCUACCAUUAUUCCCCCAUUCACAAUGAUUCUUUUACGUCCUGUUCGAUGUUCGUUUGAUUUUUUUGAGGAUUAUUCCUCCUCCUCAAAAAGAUCAGCGCAUCUGUCUCUCUGUCUUGUCUCCUCUUUCACUUUAUGAUCUAAAUCAUUCCUUCUGACACUUUCGAAAAAGAGUUGUGUCUGAAUCAUUCAGAUUGCUGAAGACCAUUUUGUGCUUCUUAGAGCAUUUCUUUCUAUCCCUUUUUUGUUCUCUUUCAUCAUAUCAUUUAUGGCGAUUGGCAAAGAAAAUUAGCAAGGAAAAUUUCAAGGGCAAUGACAAAGAUGGUGGUUUACGAAGAAGUGAGAUACACUGAAAAUGACAAAAUCUGAGGCAAAUUUGGAUAUGUUUCUUAAUAGAGUAUUACCAAUAAAGUAGCUUUUCUGGAGAACACCCGUCGACAGUUGAAGGCCUUCUUAACAAAAGACUCAUCGAAGGACAUUGGAGAUGAAGCCGAACAGAGCAAUGAUAUGAAUGAUACUGAAAGUUUGAUGAUUGAAGAAAGAAUGAUAUAUGAUCAUUGAAGUCCUAGACAUUUGGCUUCGAGAAAAUGAUGAUGAAAUCAGGAUUUGAGUAUGAUUAGAGUCGUAGAGAUUACAAUUAUGAUUUUAUUUUUAAAUUUUAUUUAUUUAUACUAUAUUUAUCAGAAUAUAUAAUAUUAUAACCAAAAUUCAUUUUAUAUGUCAAUUCAAAGUUAGAAACAUCAAUUGAAAGAAUGCCAAUACUCUAAAUCUUUGUGUUUUAUGUUUUCCAAUUCUUUUUCUUGAUUUUAUAAAUUCUAUUUGAGAUUUUUGUAUAUUGCUUGUUUUCUUAAAAAAAUUGGAUUUUAUAAACAUUGUAUAAAAAAUCUUAUAUAUUGGAUUCUAUUGGAUUUUGUAAAUUACUUGAACAGAGCAGUGAGCAGAUGAUUGAUUUAUUAUUAUUUGAUUCUAUCUAAUUUAUUUUAAUCAAUGUAUUGAAAACGAAAUCAAAAAAAAUCAAAAAAAUAAUUUUCUCAAAAGCUUGAAAAGUCAAAACCCUCUCAAUAAAAUAAUCUUUUCUUCUUCAUUCAGACUUCAGAGAUUCCAAAACCCCUUCUCCUUCCUUUCAUUGAAAACACUCGGACUGCCAACUCUCCCACCACAGACGCCCUUUCUCUUUUGCGGUUUAUCUUGUUUGGAAGGUAAUGUUGUAAAUAUUUAGAUUUUCUUAUAUAGAUUUAAGGGUUUCUUUCGAAUCAUUUUGGGUAUAUAGGGAUGUUUUUCGUGAUGUAUGUAUGUAUGUAUGUAUUCCUUGAUUUUUGGCCUUUGUAGAUUGUUUUUUUAGUUUAAUCCUUGAUGUUGGUUGUUUGUUGCUUUGGGUUUUAUUUAAAAGAAAAAUUAAAGAUCAUGUGUUUAUUUCUAAUAAAGUUUUCCAAGAUCAUUUCUUAUAUAGAAUUAAGGGUUUCUUUCGAAUCAUUUUGGGUAUAUAGGGAUGUUUUUCGUGAUGUAUGUAUGUAUUCCUUGAUUUUUGGCCUUUGUAGAUUGUUUUUUAGUUUAAUCCUUGAUGUUAAUUGGUUGUUUGUUGCUUUGGGUUUUAUUUAAAAAAAAAAUUAAAGAUCAUGUGUUUAUUUCUAAUAAAGUUUUCCAAGAUCAUUUCUUAUAUAUAUUUAAGGGUUUCUUUCGAACCAUUUUAGGUAUAUAGGGCUGUUUUUCGUGAUGUAUGCAUGUAUUCCUUGAUUUUUGGCCUUUGCAGAUUGUUUUUUUAGUUUAAUCCUUGAUGUUGGUUGUUUUGUUGCUUUGGGUUUUAUUUAAAAAAAAAAUAAUAAUGAUCAUGUGUUUAUUUCUAAUAAAGUUUUCCAAGAUCAUUUCUUAUAUAGAUUUAAGGGUUUCUUUUGAAUCAUUUUGGGUAUAUAGGGCUGUUUUUCGUGAUCUAUGUAUGUAUUCCUUGAUUUUUGGCCUUUGUAGAUUGUUUUUUAGUUUAAUCCUUGAUGUUGGUUGUUUGUUGCUUUGGGUUUUAUUUUUAAAGAUAAAUUAAAGAUCAUGUGUUUGUUUCCGAUAAAAUUGUCCAAGAUCAUUUCUGGUUGCUUAUUAUCAAUUUUUGCAAGGUUUAUGACUCUAAAUUAUACUUGUUCUAGUUCUUUUUGAUUACGUGUUGUUUAUAUUAUUUGAAAUCAGAAAACAGGAAGGAAAAAUGGGCAGUUCAUUAUCCAGAACAUCGAAGCCUGAGAAAGAGAUUGCAUCUCCCUGCAAAAGAAAAUGUCAGAAACUUGAAGGUGGAGAUAAAGGGAAAAAAGCCCGUCCAUCAAUAGGAACAUCGAAGCCUGAGAAAGAGAUUGCAUCUUUGGGAAAAAGAAACUGUCAGGAACUUGAAGGUGUAAAAAAAGGAAAAAUCGGUCAUUCAUCGCCAAGAACAUCAAAGUCUCAGAAAAAGAUUGCAUCAUUGGCAAUCGAGGGUGGAGAUAAAGAACCUAAAGAAGUUCUUGAUUGCAUCAUAGAUUUUGAUUUAUUAGACUGUAUGGUAUGCUACGAGCCACUCAUUGGUUCUAUUUUUCAGGUAACCAUCAUUUUAUGUAUAUGAUAUAUUUACCCCAAGAGUUCCUACUCUUUACUUUCUUUUCAAUUCCAUUUGCAGUGCAAAAACGGCUACAUUGUUUGUCAAACUUGUUGCAGAAAGAUCAAUAGCCGAUGCCCUACUUGUAAGUGCACGAUUGGUGUCAGAAACCUUGUUCUUGAACAUAUUAUCGAUAGUAUUCAAGUCCGUUGUCGAUAUGCUAUGAAUGGUUGUGCUGAAGUGUUGUCAUUCUGCGAUAGACAAUCUCAUGCAAAGAAUUGCCAUCAUGCUCCAUUGUCUUGUCCAUUUGAAAGUUGUUCAUUCGAUGGAUGUAAUGCUGAAUUAUUCAACCAUAUAAAAGAUGCCCACUUGUAUACUGAAGCAUGCACGGGAGAAUACGUGAAUUUAGCAAUCAAGGUUGGGAAGCAGAAUUGUCUUCUGGGAGACGAUUGUUCAAUUUAUCUCAUAGUCGUGAAGAAACAAUCCUCUGCAUUUUGUAUUUCGGUACUUUGCAUCAGUUCUCUUACCAAGUCGAAUGUCGUCUAUAAAAUCAAGUUGUAUGGGAAUGGUAACUCCAAGCUAAGUUUUUUUGGUAAUGUUCCUACCAUAAAGGAAAUAGUAGAUGCUCAUGCAUUGUCUUCUCUAGAUAACAAUGUGUUGGUUCCCUAUACUAUGUAUGAUGUUGAUACUCAUCAUAUUGAUUUGCAGAUAUGUUUUAUAUGAAAUGAACUAAAUUAUGUUUUAUAUGAAAUGAACUAAAUUAUGUUUUAUAUGAAAUGAACAUCAGAACUCACAAGAUCAAACAAUUAUGUUUGAGCUUCUCUUUAAAAUCUAUCAUCUUUUUUUUGUCAAUUCUUUUAAUUACCAUUAAGAAUAGAGAUAGAAGAGAUUGAGGAGAUCAGGAGAAUAAAAAUAGAAUUAUAUUUAGAUAAGUAAAAAUGGUGAAACUUAACCAUUGUCAUGACUAAUUAAUUAAUGUCUUUUGAAGAUUGUUGUUCUUAUCUUACCCAAAUUCCUCAAAGGUUAUUUUCAAGUCGAGGAGCGAGAAAUUGUAAGUUAUGAAUUUUUUUUUUAUAAAGUAUCUUUAGUUUGAUUUUUGUUAUAUAAAGUUUUGACGCAAAAAAAAUUAAAUCCUCAUCUUAAUUCCAAUUGCAGGAGACGUAUCCCUAUGCGCCGGUUCAACUUCUAGAGGUAAUGGAUUUUGUCAUUUUACAUGGAUAAAAUAUGAUGGGAAGUCACCCCGAUCUGUGUAGUUUCAAGAGAAGUCGUGGUGGAUUUAUGGAUCUUACCCAGUUCAAGUUCUGACUCGGCCCCAACUUGAACAGCAUUGGCCUCUUCCGAAAUCUAUUGUCAAUCCUUGUAAAAAAAAUUGAAUUUUUUUAUUUAAAUGAAUUUGGCAAAUAUUCGAAUUUGCCUGUAAUGUUGAUUGAUUUACUAUUGAUUUGUUACAACAAAAAAAAAAAAAAUUUGACAACUCAUCCAGAAAAGGCUAUUAAACCCAAUAAAGAUUUUAUUUACAAUUGAGCCUUUAAUAUUCACAUGAAUACCAACACUUCCUCUAAUCGAUGCAAGAAUUUAUUUCUCCCUUUCUAAACUCUCUUCUUAUGCCAACUUUUUGGACUCAUCGAAUACAUUUUUCUUUCUUUUUAAAACUCUUCUUUUCUUCAUCGACAGCAUUCUUCACUAAUCAGCACUGCUCUUCAUCAUUCUUCAUUUUCUACUACAAGCUGCAAUCAAAUGGUGAGUAAGCUUUCAGGGUUUGGGGUUAAAUGGGGUUUUAGAGAAAGGGUUAAAUAAAAGUAGGGUUUUAGAUUAAAAUAAUUUGAUUAAUUUUUUUAUUAUCGCUCCACUACAUUCAGAUUACUGUUUGUCAAGCCUGUGGGGCUCUGGAAAAUCCUCAACUCUUGAUUUUCUGUUCAACUUGUAACAAUAAUGCUGAACACCUGUAUGUAUGGAUAUAUAUUCUUUCUAUCUUGCAGAUGUGGUGGUGUUUCAAAUUCUUUUUCAUUUCUUCUUUUCUGCAGGUAUUGCUUGACAGAAUAUGAGGAAUGUCUUGGGGAUUUUAUUUGGUCUUGUGAGGAAUGUACACAGCAUAUAAUCCCCACAACCAGUCUAUGCCAAGAGGAGGGUAAGUGAGAACCAAAUGUUUGUAGUUUUCUUACAUUAAUUCCAAUGAAAUUUUAAAAAAUAUUUAUAAAUCAAAACACUUUUGUCUUCUAUUCUAUCCAAAUUUCCAAUGUUUGGGAUUUUGCAUUUUUUACUCACCAUAAAUUAUUUAAAUACACUCCGUUUCUGUAACGGUGUCUACGUGCCGGCAUCUUCGUUCGUUAUGCAUCGCAUGGUUCGAUUUUGGGACGGCACGACGGGUCAUGUCUCGGCACAAAUUCAUUUGCCUACGCCGGUGUCUACAGGUAGAGGUAUGGGUUGCAAUGUACGUCGUCCGGUGGAUAAUUUCACCGUCGUUCAUUGUCCGGACUGUGAACGACACAGCGGGUCCAAUCGGACACCCCAGGUCCCCUCGACGGAGUCCUUAUUUGAACUGGUUCGUAUUUUGGGUAAUUUACUAAAUACCCCUUAUGUUAAUUCUAUAACUUUUGUGUACCAAAACUUAUUUAAUAAUUGAAUAUUUAGGAACUGGUCCUCUUAUAAAAACAACCGUAGUUAUAUAAUAUAUUUUGAUAACCUUUUACUGUUUUUAUUAUAUUUAGGUCCAAAUAACGUUUUACUGAAACAUUUGUGAAUAAACCCUUGUUGAUUAAAGACAAAAUAGUUUAUUCUGUUUUGUCAUAACCUUUAGAUUUCGUUUAUUACACCUAUGUCCUAAAGUUAUAUUAUGUGGUAAAUUACUAUUUUUACCCUAGAUUUCAAUAUAAUCUUAUACUCCCCCCUCAAGUCUUGGAAUACAUGUUAUGAAUUCCUAACUUGACAGAGAAUGUUGAAAUUUUAUGCUCUCUUAGGGAUUUAGUAAAAAUAUCUGUAAGUUGGUAUUUUGUGCCAACUUGCUUCAAGAUAAUUAUCCCUUUAUCUAUCAUUUCUCUUAUGGAGUGACAUGUGAUUUAUAUAUGCUUGCUCCUCUCAUGAAACAUUGGGUUAUUGGCAAGAUAUAUUACUGAUUUGUUGUCACAGUAUAAUGAGGUUGGAUUUGUUAUGUUCAACUUUAAAUCUUUAAAAAGUUGAUGUAGCCAUAAUACUUCACAUUGAGCUUUACUGAUGGCUCUAUACUCUGCUUCACAGGAUGAGAGUGAAACAGUAUCUUAUUUUUUGGAUUUUCAAGAAAUUAAUGAUGUUCCUAAGAACAUACAAUAGCCUGAUAGUGACUCUCUACUAAUUGAACAUGAAGCUCAGUCUGAGUCAUAAUACCCAUGAAAGGCCAUUUGGUUUUGGCUUUUGUAUAAGAUGCCCUGUCCAGCGGCAUUUUUCAGGUAUUUUAUCACCUUAAAUAGUACUUGAAGAUGAAUUUUAUUUGGGUUUCCUAUGAAUUGGCUCAGCCAAUGGACAGGGAAGAUCAAGUCAGGUCUAGUGAUAUUUAAAUAUAUCAGUUUACCCACUAGUGACCUAUAAAAGGUUGGGUCUGUUAAAACCUUGGCAUUUUCAUUUCUUAGAUUUACAUGCCUUUUCAUGGGUAUUUUUGAUGGUUUUGCAUCUAUCAAACCACUCUCUUCUAGAAUGCCUAAUGUAUACUUUCUUUGAGAUAUAUAUAUAUCCCUUCUGGUGGAUAUGAGAUUUCUAUUCCUAAGAAAUAAGAUAGUCUUUCUAAAUCCUUAAUUUUGAAAUUUUUUUCAAUAUUGUUUUUAAUUAAGAAAACUUCUGUUUCAUUGUUGCCUGUGAUGAUAAUAUCAUCAACAUAUACCAAUAUGUAUAUUGGAUUUCCAUUGUUGUUUUUAACAAACAUGGAGUAAUCAGAGGGGGUUUGGGAAAAAUUCAUUUUAAGUAGAACUCCUCUUAAUUUAGCAAACCAAUUCCUAGAUGUUUGUUUUAAACCAUAUAAGGAUUUGUUUAGUUUGCAUACCUUUUUAUCUCCUUCAUUGAAGAGUCCUUGUGGUGGUUUAAGAUAUACCUCUUCAUGGAGAUCUCCAUGAAUAGAUGUUUCAUGAAUAGAUCUUGAUGAAGAAAUGCAUUAUUGACAUCUAAUUGAUAGAUGUUCUAUUUUUUUAUUGUUGAAAUUGCAAUUAUAGUUUUAAUUGUAGUCAUUUUGACUACAGGGGCAAAAGUUUCAUAGUAAUCAUACACUUCUUUUUGGGUGAACCCUUUUGCCACAAUCUAAUCUUGUAUCUCUCUAUUUCACCAUUAGAUUUAUAUUUGAUUUUAUAAAUCCACUUGGAGCCUACAAGUUUCCCUUUUUGAGAAAGCAUUGUUAAGGUCCAAGUUUUAUUUAAAAGAAGUGCCUCCAUUUCUUUCUUUAUUGCUUCCACCCAUUUUGGGUUUUUGGAAGCUUCUGAAAAUGAUUUUGGCUCAUCAUUUAUUGAUGUAGCAAAUUUUUAUGAUUUUAUGGUAUGACACUUGAUUGCAUAUUGGGUAUUUUCCUUUUUUAUUAUUAUUCCUAUAUUCAUUGUCAUUUUCAAGAAAAAAAUCUUUAUAAGCUUCUGGGAUGUGUAUUACUCUCCCUGCUCUUGUUUUUUUUAAUUAUUUCCAGUAAUUUUUCUGAAAUUUCACAUGGGACAUCUUGUUGCUGUUUAUUUUGUUUUCCUGCAAUAUCAGGAGUGAUGAUUUGUUGUUCUUGUUGUUCUACUGAAUUUUCUAUGCUUGAUAAAUUUAUUUCGUCAUUAUUCUGAAUAUUUUCAGAAUCAUAGGUAUUUUGAACAUUUUUAAAAUUCACAUAUCAUUUGAUUGGUUAUGACUAAUAUCAUUAGCAUUAUUACUUAUGUUUUCACUCAUUCUGAUAUUUUCAAUGUGAUUAUUCAUGUGAUUUCCUGAUUUAUGUGAUUCAGAUUGUAUCUGAAUUCUUUGAUUAUUUCCUGAUCUUAUGUCUGAAUUUCUACUUGGACUGCAGGGUAUAUUUUUUGAUCUUAUAAUUCUAUUGAGAUCAGAGUUUUCAAUGUUGUUUUCUGAUUCAGAUUGUAUCUGAAUUAUUUGGUCACUUCCUGAACUUAUAUCUGAAUUGUUUUUCAGAUUGCAGGGUACAUCUUCUGAUCUUAUAAUUUUAUUAAGAUCGGAAGUUUUAGCUUUAUUGUUUUCUUGAUAAUAACUAUUAUAGUCUUACCAAGCUUUAUUUGAAUCAUCAUGAUAUAUGAAAACAUUGUUAUAGAAUUUUUGAAGAUAAUUUGAUUUUUUAGCAUUUUCUAAAGUAAUAUCAUCUUUAAAUGGGAAUAUGGAUUCCCUAAAAUAAACAUUCCUGGAAAUGAUUUUUUUUUUAUCUGAAACCUUCAGAAUGAGAUAUCCUUUAACUCCUUUGGGAUAUCCCAUAAAGAUUCUUUGAAAAGUUUUUGGUGAAAAUUUAUUUUCCAUUUGUGUUGUUGAAGCAUAGCAUAAACAACCAAAGGAUUUUAAAUUUUUAAAAUCAGAAUUUUUUUUAUGAAUUAUUUCAUAAGGUGUUUUGUUUUCAAUGAUUUUGAAAUGGAUCCUAUUUAUUAGGUGGGCUGAGUUAAAAUGCACUCUCCCCAAUAUUUCAGUUGAAUGUUUCCUUGGAAAUGCAAUGCUCUUGCUAUAUUCAAGAAAUGUCUAUGUUUUUUCUCUACUCUUGCAUUUUGUGCAGGGGUAUAUGGACAAGAGAAUUGUUGAAUUAUUCCAUGUUUUUCGGUCAUUUUCUUGAAAUUAUUGAAGGUGAAUUCCCCUCCAUUAUCACUUCUGAUAAUUUUAAUUUUGGUGUUAAAUUGAGUUUUAACCAUUUUAUAAAAAAUUUCAAUGCAUUCUAUUGCUAUUGACUUAUUUUUCAUUAAAUAGAUCCAUGUUCCCCUACUUAGAUCUUCUACAAUGGUUAAAAAAUAAUUAAAACCAUCAUGGGAUGAAAUUGGGAAUUUUCCUUAUAUAUCCACAUGGAUUAGAUCAAAUAUUUUUUCAGAUUUUGAGGAGUUAAUUGUAAACUUGAGUUUUGCUUGUUUUGCUAAUGGACAAAUUCUACAAUUGUGUUGGAUUGAAUUUAUUUCAUUUAAAAUAUAUUUUUGUUGAGUACAAUCAAAAUUUGCAUUCAAAAUUGAAUUUUUAUUCAGAACAGAAUUUUUAUUGUUAUUACAAGCAUUAUCCUUACAAGAUGAAUUAUUACAAUUAUGAUUGACAUUUCUAAAUUUGAGUUUAUAGUUUGAGACUAAAGUCUUCAUCUUCUUUGAAGAAAUGUGCUCCAAUCUGUGAUGCAAUGUUUUGAAAUCUAUGCAGGCUGAAUUUGCUAGAAAAAGGUGGGGGUGAAGAAAUAUAAUCCAUUACUUGAAUUACCCUUGCCAAUCAUUUUUUCGGAUUUGUUUUCCUGAAAUUGAAAAUAAUGAUCAUCAAAAAUUACUUUAAUGUCAUUUUCUAAGGUUAAUUUGCUUAUAACUAUUAAAUUAACCUUAAAUUCAAAAAUAUACAAUACAUUUUUCAGAAUUAAAUUUUCUGAAAUUUUGAUACAUCGCACCCCUUGAACCAUGAUUAUUUUCCCACUAGGUAUAAUGACAUAGUGGUUGGGUUCUUUAAUUGGGAUUUUGGUAAAUAGAUGUAGAUUACCUGUCAUGUAUUGUGAGGCACCAGUAUCUACUAUCUAUUUAUCAAUGUGGGAACUUAUAUUGAAAGAAAAAGAAAAUAAAUUAUCAUUACCCGAGUUGCUGUUUGAUUUUGUUAAGGAGAUGAGCUCCUUGAACAGAUGAAUUUUUUCCUGAGUUAAACAGAGUUGCUGACUGUUGGUGGCAGUUAUUUGAUUUGCAGUCUCUGAGUUUGGUGUGUUUGUGCCCUGAAUUUUCUUUCCUUGGAAUUUCUUUUGAAACUUAUCUUUGGGCCUGACAACUAGAUGGUAGCACUUAUCCCUUGUAUGACCAUAAUAUUUGCAAUUGUCACAGUAGAACCUACUGUUUAAUUUUUUGUCAUUUUUGGAAUAUAAAAUUUUUGUUCUAUCUGUUGGGUUUUUUCUUUAGCAUAAAAUGUUGACUCAAUCUUUUCAUUAUUAUGGUCUCUGAAUUUUAUCCUUUGCUUUUCCUCUUGUAUUACUAACCCAAGUACCUUAUUCAUAUUGGGUAAAUUCUCCAGAGAUAAGAUUUGGGUUCUAAGGUUGAAAAAAUUCUCAUUUAGAUCUAGGAGGAAUUGACGAAUCAUAUCAUUUUCUUCUUUUUAUUGAUAGAGUUUUUUGCGUUAUCUGCAAAAAAUUUAUUUUAUUUCAUCUAUUUGAACUAAUUGAUCCCAAAUUGACCUGGCAGACAUGGAUCCUUGUUGUAGGCAGCAUAACUCAUAUUUGAUUUGAUUUACUUUGGGAGCAUUUCCUUGCUUAUACCUACACUCUAAAUCUAACCAAACUUGAUAUGCAUCAUUUGUACACAUAAGAGUUGAUUGGAUUUGUGGGGAAACUGAAUUUAAAAUCCAUGCAAGCACUAACCCAUUUACAAUUUUCCAAAUGUUGUAUUCUCUACUACCAAAAUCAGUGGGCAUCACUAUUUGUCCAGAGAUGAAUGCAUCUUUUCUUCUUGAUACCAAUGAGACUUUUAUCCCAUUGGACCAAGUUAUGUAGUUAGAUUCAUCAACUAGCCUAUCAAGAACUAAUAUAGCCCCCGAGUGAUCACCGAAGGUCAGAAAAAGAGGAGAUUCAGGGUCUUGUAAAGGAGAAAUAUACCUUUCAGCCCUUUGUCUCUUGAAAACAGAAUUUUUGAACAAACCUUCCCCAUUGUUGUUUGCACGCGAUUUUCCAGUUGACUCAGAUAAAGAUUCACGUGAAACUGAUGGUGUCUCGAUCGGAUUCAGUGGUUGUGCAACAGAGACGAACGGAUUGUUGGCCGGAAAAAUUGCGAAAGUGGUCGGUCGAUUGGCCGGCGAAUUGAAAGGAGUUUCGGCUGAUACCAUAUUAAUUUCUGCUGCGGAGAAUCCAUUGGAGGGAAUGUACACGAACGCCUAAGAUUGGGAGCGACGCCGGUGUGCGCAAUAGCCGGAGUCGUAAUUAUGGUUUUCCGUCUACUUGUUGAGAGGCGUUUAACAGUAAGAACUGUCACUAAGGCGAGUGAGUGGAGGAUUUGGUUAAGAAAGUAGUUUAGUUAAUCUUCGAUGAUUAACAGUUGUAUUUAAUUGAUUUAUUAAAGAUAAUUACACUGUUAUUUAUACAUACUUUAAACAUCAAAUCUUUACAUUUAUUUAAAAUUGAUUUAACUAAAUAAUCGUAUUUGGGCUGGACUCAUUUGAUCUUGGUCCAUAGGUCCAGCUCUUCAACGGUUAUUUCUGUUAAGAGAAUUCCUGCAAGAGUACACACUAGAUUAGAAAUAACAACCAGGUCCUUGUUUGACCUGGUUCGUAUUUUGGGUAAUUUACUAAAUACCCUUUAUGUUAAUUCUAUAACUUUUGUAUACCAAAACUUAUUUAAUAAUUGAAUAUUUAUGAACUGGUCCUCUUAUAAAAACAACUGUAGUUAUAUAAUAUAUUUUGAUAACCUUUUACUGUUUUUAUUACAUUUAGGUCCAAAUAACGUUUUACUGAAACAUUUGCGAAUAAACCCUUGUUGGUAAAAAACAAAACAAUUUAUUCUGUUUUGUCAUAACCUUUAGAUUUCGUUUAUUACACUUAUGUUCUAAAGUUAUAUUCUGUGGUAAAUAACUAUUUUUACCCUAGAUUUCAAUAUAAUCUUAUACAUCAAUCCAUCUCCAGGUAGGAUUACUUUAAAUUAUUUCUUUAAUGGCAUUACUGGUUUCAUUGUUGGAUUACCAUCAUGUUGAUUUUCUCCUUUCCGGCGUGGUCGAAAUCGCCAUUUCGUUACUUUCCAUGUUUUGUACCAAUUUCUCCUCUAUGAUUGAUUUUUCAAGUUAAAUGAUACUCGACAACUCCGAGUAUUUCCGAAUGUUUUUCUCCUGAUUUUUGAUAAACAUUUUUGCAUCUGGUACUUGAAAUUAAGAACUUUUUUUUGAAUUAAAACUAUCUAUAUAUUAAUAUAUAAAUUUUAAAGAAAAAAAGGAGGUGUGAUCACAUGCGAUCCACCUCACGUCUUCCGCAUUGAUCAAGCCAUGUGAUUUUACGAUCGUUUCGACCUUCAACAACCUUUGAAAACUGACUCGAUAUUUUCUAAAACGAUCUGUCUUAUCGUUCUUACGUAAUUGACCUUAGACAAUGGGGAGUGUAAAAACUCUGGUGUGCUCCAGGCAUCUUUUCCUUUUCUAAGGAAAAACUCUGUCAUUGUCUUUCGGUCAACUACUCGUGAGUGAUUAUUCAUGUCGUUUUUACUGUAAAAGAAAUACUACCUUUUAAAAGGUAAGACUCUCUAUGGAUAUGAUUUUUUGGAUCAUUUCACUAACACACUUUACCUUAUAUGCUUUUUGGUGAGUCAGAAUUCUAUUUGUUGAAUUAUAACCCAUCAUUGGCUUAGAUGUUGUAGUUCUCUAAUACAAGUUUCUACCGAAUUUAAAUUAAAAAUAUGUCGUAUUAAUAGUAGAUAGUUUAACUUGGGUCUUGUUGGGGGCUUUUAGCCUAUAUUUUCUCUAAUCGUUGCUCUUGGGUCGUUCCUUUAGCCUUAUACAUGUUCGUCGUGAAGGUGCUUGUUAUAUCAUGUAUUAUCCUUCUCCCUAUCUCUUGCGGCCAUGUUCGUCUGUCUUCGUGUACUCUCUUGUUUCUUUCGGUCCAUAUCCCUCAUACUGUCGUUGCCGUGUAUGCUCAUGUUAGACCCCAACAUGACGUGUUUUUUGUUCUGAUGUGGGCCUCUGUCAUUACCUAGUUUAAAAAGAGUCAUGCGCAUGUAAUCAAACCUGGUUUUGUAUUUAGUAUAUAGGACCAUACGUCUAUAAAAAAUUUACACUUGAAGAACACAUGGUCUUGAAAUUAAGAACUUACUAUAUUACAUAAGAGCAUCAAUUUUUUGCGUCUGGUACUCCAUCCUUACUAUAACCAAAGCUUCUAGCACAUAUAAAGAAUUACAGGUGACUAGGUACUAAUAAUGAAGAAUUAUUGGUGAUUAUGAACAACCUCAUAUGCAAAACACAUAUUUAAACUACAUUGCUAAAUCUUCCAUUUGAAUACGAGAAUAUUCUCUCGAUGCAGUUCAUGGCCAUGAGUCUUAACCACUCUUGAGCACCUGAAUUGUUCAGGAGUCAUGAAACACUACAUGAAAAGCAUGACCACAAGCAUGACCACAUCUACUGGUGAGAUAAAUCAUGACAAACAGAUGUAAGAACCACCACCCGAAUCAGGACAGUACGAACAAUACUAUCCUAAUGUGACAAAUUAGAUAGAUCAAGCUUUACAUUUAUAGAGAAAAUUGCUAACAUAAAAUUUCAACGUUUCUAAUUUACCAACUAUUUCUCUAAUGCAGGGAAACUGAUGGUCAACAUUAACUCCCCGGUAAAUACAAUCAUCGAAAAUUCUCUUCUGCAUACAUUUACAAUUUACAGUGUGGAGUUUCAAAUAAAAUGUAAAAUACCAAAGACGCCAAACUUUGGCAUAACUAGUACGCAUCAUUAAAUUGUCAUACUCAUCAGGAAUCUGUAAUAAUGUCCAAUUUUAGGAAAAUUAUCGACUACAAACUACGAAAUUCUGGAAUUAAGAUAUACUAGGAUGCUGUCCUUGGCAUCACAAGACUUUGUGAAAAACAAAAAAAAACUACACAUUUUAUGUUGUAUAUAUACUUACGGGUAUAGGGGAUUCUAUAUACUACAUAAUCUCAUUUUGUAUUUCAUCUUCAACAGGGAGGCGAUGACAUUAAUGGACAUCCAUGUCUAGGUACCUCAGAAGCGAACACGUUAAAACUACUUUACUUGAAUUAUUCAGUUUACAUACAAUUAGGUUUACUAUUAGUUUUCUAAAUCUAUAGUUCGAAUACAGGAUAUGUCUUCGAUCAGGACGAUAGAGACACCAUGAUUACUCCAGACAGGUAAUCUAACAAUUAUAUCAUCUUCUUAUUUAGACUCUUAAAAUUUACGAACGUAAUAAUCAUUUAGGCCCGAAAUUUCAUAUUGUAACAGUGAAGAUAAACGUGCAUCCAUCGACAAUGAAAGUGAAGAUAAAGAUACCCCAAGGUCAGACAUUUAUAGGCUUAAUGAUUCAAUGAACGAAAAAUACAUUUUGUACUCUCUCUGUCAUUUCUAAAAACAAAAUUGGCAGGCCUGUCGAAGAACCAUACAUAGGAAUGACAUUUGAUUCAAUUAUUGAGGCAGAGAACCUAUACUACUCUUACGCAGGGCAAAGAGGUUUUUCAGUCCGGAAAUCGUCCACUAGAUAUUCAAAGCAGGGUCUUCGUAAGAAAACAUAUGUUUGCUCAAAGGAAGGAACCUCAAGAGCUAAGAUACCAGUUGUGGACCAUCUACUUGAAAAACAAACAAGGCUCAGGCAUAUCCGAAAUCCAAGGACAGGUUGCAAAGCUCUUCUAUCUCUAAAGAUAUCAGGAGACAAAUGGAUGAUAUCGAUCUAUAAUGACGUGCACAAUCAUGAUAUGUCUACGCCAUCGAAAAAACGGUUCUUGAGGAAUGUCGACAAUACAACUGGUUCGUCAUUAAGCAAACAAACAACACAUCGUAUGAAUGUCGACAAUACAUCGUAUGAUAAAGGAAAAACGUUUGUAACCGAAAAUAAUGUAAGUAUUUAAUCAAUCUAUAUAUUUUAUAUAUUUUCAUUUUAUUUUAUUUAUAAAUAAAAUAACGAUAUUUUUAUUAUAUUUAAAUUUUCAUUUAUAGGUUAAUGAUAUAGUGGAGAAUGCGAUGGCUCAUCAAAUGAAAUUUUUCCAACAAUAUACUAGCGCUUUUCAAGCUCAAAAUCCGAAUAUGCACAUACCGGAUUUUCCAUCAUCUAGAGCGUCGACGUCACGAGUACCAGUGCAGCAGACUCUUCCUCAACCAACGAUUGAAUCAGAGGAGCAGACUCUUACACAACCUCGUGGACGAUCAAUCAUUUUCUCAAAAAACGAAAUAUCAAAGCUCGUAUUUAAAAAGACUUCUUCAAAAAUGAAACAAAACGACAAUCAACAAAAUAGAGAUUAGAAUAGCAAGCGACUUUUUCAAAAAAAAAAUUAUUUUGUCGCAAAUUAUUUUAAAUAUUAUCAAUUUCAUUUUUAUUUUCAUUUAAUAUAAUUUCUAAUAAAUAAUAUAUAUUUCAUAAUUAAUUAAUUAAUUAUUUAAAUAAAUAACUAAUAGAUCCUGGUGGCCUGGCCGCCAACAAUUGAAGCAAUUUCGAUCAAUAAUCGGAUUCCAAAAUAUAUUGUCGGUGGCCUGACCGCCAGGACAUUACAAAGUUAGCGACAUUACCUCUGACGAUGACCUACCGGCGGCCUGACCGUCAGCAUUUGCCGCCAGAACUACGCUGUUUUUUUGUAGUGAAAAUUAAUAAAAGAAUAACCCCUUACACCAGGAAUUUAAUACACAACUUAAAUGCGACAAACAUUCUUUCGAGUCAGCAAUAUUCCUACGUAGCAAUAGAGUCGAUCAGGUUGAUACAAAUAUAAUGACAACCAUAUUUAAUAAAACAUAAGUGGUGAAUCAUCAAUAGAACAAAAUCGCUCUGUCAAGUAAUUAACAACAUAUCAUAGUACCAUACACAGAUUUCUAAUAGUGAAUUACAAUCAUGCAUUAUAUUGUUGAAUAUGUGGUAAAUUUCUUCUUCGAUGUAUACUUGGCCAUUUUAAUUUGCCACGGUAUGAAUUCCAUCCUCUCAGUGAGUCUUCGGAAUAAGCAUUAAUUCCGUAUUUUAGGACUUUAGUUUUCUUCCACGACAUCAUGGAAAUAUUCUAUCAGGCAACUAACUCCAUGCAACAUAUAUAGGCCACCAUCCAACUUGGGAUUGAUUUCCUGUGGGAAUGAACGGCAUUCAUUAAAUUCAGGUUCGUUAUGAAGAUCAGAAAAGAGGAACUGUCGGAACCAGUUGGUCAUCCAAAUCACCUGAAAAUAAACUUAAUUGCUUAUGUACUCGUCUACACAUAUACAAAAAACAAUUAAGAUGCCUUACAGUACGCUUAGCUGCACUCUCUCCAAUAUCUUCUAGGUUCAAAAAAUAAGAGGUGGUUUUAUUGUUCUUCCACUAGAUAUUAAUGUUGCUCAAACAAGAAAGAUAGUCAUACAAUAUAUGUAUGUAUAAAUCAUUGGAUGUUUUUCAAUUUUGAAUCAACAUUCUUUCAAGUUCUUAUAAAUGAAUUUAUAGAAUUUAUAAAUGAAUUUAUAGAACAAAUAAAAUAACAAAGUGUAAUGUAAUAUUAUAUAUUGUGUUAAAUAUAUGUAUGUAUGGUUAUCAUCUAUAUUCCUAUCGAAAUCACACCAUCAAAUUUGCAUCUAAGCUAGCUACCUCAUCUUUAUUUCCAGUUUGAAUGCUUUCCAAAUGUAUCUCAAAUUUUAUCAUGCAUGUAUUACCAUCGUCUUCCCAUUGCCAUUUUCUUUACUAUUUUUUUCUUUUCUUCUAUCACCAUGACUCUCUAUGAAGACGACGGAGUUUGUUUGUUGGAAGAGUGGGAUGAUUCUAAUUGGCAAAAUCCAACUGACAUCGAUCUAUAACUUGGAAGAUCUUUUUGAAGCUCUUUGAUGCAGAUAAUAUCGACGAUGUCAGAAUGGGAGGCGGGUUGAAUAAUAUAUAAAAUAAAAUAUAAGAGAUUUUAUUCAAAGGAUUUUGUACAAAUGGUGGGAGAAUGACGAGCAUAAUAAAUUAGGAAAGUUUGAUAUGAACUUAAGAUAUGAUUCUCUAGAUCCUAGACGAUUUCUUUGGAUUGUUGAUCUAACACGCUCUAGUGUAUGUGUUUGAAAGAAACUCAUUUUUACUGUGGUCUGUGAAUAGAACAUGACUCGAUCAUCCUCUAUUUAUAAUAUAUGAGUCGAUACAAAACUAUAUAUCCUUACAUUAGUAACAGACAUAACCACCAACCGUUUCAAAUGUUUUUUAGAGGUUAUUUAUAUUUGGUACAUUUAAUAUUUUAUUAAAAUUUUAAGGUUAAAACCAAAAUAUUUUCAUCAAAUAUCAUUUUCUCAAACUCAAAAAUGUUCUCAAUCAUUUUCCUAGUUUCUUAUAAUAUGAUAGGCUAUAGGGUAUUGGAAUAGAGGCACAAAGUUAUAGGGAUAUUGAGAAACACAUACAACAUCUGGAGCAUGAAGACAUUAAUGGAUUCAAGGUGACAUUAAAAUAUCAGUGGCUAAUUUUUUUGCCAUGAAAAUAAACAUGAAAAUUUCUAUUCUGUAGCAAAAUAUGGAGUGAAAAAAUGGAGGGAAUUUUUCUCGAAAAAUUUAGCCACCAAACUAGCCACAGAUUUAGAAUCCAUGGUUAAAUUAUCAAAAUAGCCAUGACCCUAGUCAUGAAUAUAAAAUCCGUGGUUAUUUUUGAACAAUUAGCCAC
rnacentral:lncRNA from 1 species